GCCUAACACAUGCAAGUCGAGCGGCAGCACGGGAAGCUUGCUUCCUGGUGGCGAGCGGCGGACGGGUGAGUAAUGCAUAGGAAUCUGCCCGGUAGUGGGGGAUAACCUGGGGAAACCCAGGCUAAUACCGCAUACGUCCUACGGGAGAAAGCAGGGGCUCUUCGGACCUUGCGCUAUCGGAUGAGCCUAUGUCGGAUUAGCUGGUUGGUGAGGUAAUGGCUCACCAAGGCGACGAUCCGUAGCUGGUCUGAGAGGAUGAUCAGCCACAUCGGGACUGAGACACGGCCCGAACUCCUACGGGAGGCAGCAGUGGGGAAUAUUGGACAAUGGGCGCAAGCCUGAUCCAGCCAUGCCGCGUGUGUGAAGAAUGCCCUCGGGUUGUAAAGCACUUUCAGUGGGGAAGAAAGCCUUCCGGUUAAUACCCGGGAGGAAGGACAUCACCCACAGAAGAAGCACCGGCUAACUCCGUGCCAGCAGCCGCGGUAAUACAGAGGGUGCGAGCGUUAAUCGGAAUUACUGGGCGUAAAGCGCGCGUAGGUGGCUUGAUAAGCCGGUUGUGAAAGCCUCGGGCUCAACCUGGGAACGGCAUCCGGAACUGUCAGGCUAGAGUGCAGGACAGGAAGUAGAAUCCCCGUGUAGCGUGAAAUGCGUAGAGAUCGGGAGGAAUACCAGUGGCGAAGGCGCCUUCUGGACUGACACUGACACUGAGGUGCGAAAGCGUGGGUAGCAAACAGGAUUAGAUACCCGGUAGUCCACGCGGUAAACGAUGUCGACUAGCCGUUGGGUCCUUCGCGGACUUUGUGGCGCAGUUAUCGCGAUAAGUCGACCGCCUGGGGAGUACGGCCGCAAGGUUAAAACUCAAAUGAAUUGACGGGGGCCCGCACAAGCGGUGGAGCAUGUGGUUUAAUUCGAUGCAACGCGAAGAACCUUACCUACCCUUGACAUCCUCGGAAUCCGCCAGAGAUGGCGGAGUGCCUUCGGGAACCGAGAGACAGGUGCUGCAUGGCUGUCGUCAGCUCCUGUUGUGAAAUGUUGGGUUAAGUCCCGUAACGAGCGCAACCCUUGUCCCUAUUUGCCAGCGAUUCGGUCGGGAACUCUAGGGAGACUGCCGGUGACAAACCGGAGGAAGGUGGGGACGACGUCAAGUCAUCAUGGCCCUUACGGGUAGGGCUACACACGUGCUACAAUGGUCAGUACAAAGGGUUGCGAACUUGCGAGAGUGAGCCAAUCCCAGAAAGCUGAUCUCAGUCCGGAUCGGAGUCUGCAACUCGACUCCGUGAAGUCGGAAUCGCUAGUAAUCGUGAAUCAGAAUGUCACGGUGAAUACGUUCCCGGGCCUUGUACACACCGCCCGUCACACCAUGGGAGUGGACUGCACCAGAAGUGGUUAGCCUAACCUUCGGGAGGGCGAUCACCACGGUGUGGUUCAUGACUGGGGUGAAGUCGUAACAAGGUAGCCGUAGGGGAACCUGCGGCUGGAUCACCUCCUU
rnacentral:rRNA from 1 species